UUAAAUUGAAGAGUUUGAUCAUGGCUCAGAUUGAACGCUGGCGGCAGGCCUAACACAUGCAAGUCGAACGGUAACAGGAAGCAGC
rnacentral:rRNA from 29 species